AGGUCUUCAGCUGCUGUCGUCUUCUUCUCCUGCACAGAGAACAACACGCAUUGAUCACACAAACUCAUCUAAGCGAGUAGGUGGAGCAGAAUCAGUCGACCAAUCAGCGUUUCGUAUGCCGACGUUGGCUGGCGUGUGACGUCAUCGUUCUGGACCACGAGGAGGAGAGCAGGUCGGUGGAGGAACAAUGGCGAACAGUCGAGUGAAAAUGGAGAUUAAAAUCAACGUUUUACGCCACCUUCUUUACCUGGGGUUGUUGUCGCUGUGAGAAACUUUGUUGCCGAAGAAGCGCGGAUGUUACAACGAGCCAGUUACAACACACGCCGAGCUUACCUGCAGGAGGAGGAGGUGAGGACAAUAAAUAACCAUCACCAAUAAACAAGAGGCCAGAAGAUCCAGGACAGGUAAUUUAACAACAGCAUCACAUCAAGUGAGAGAUACAGAGCAGAAUAAUU